UUGGGCACGUGCGCGGCGCGACCGCCCGCAAGGGUGUGCGCUCGGGACUGCAAAAAUGUGCAGCAGCACCCGCCCGCCUUGACCUCGCGCCGCAUCACCCAUCCACGUGCGGCCUUCUCUCUUUCUUUGCCCCAUGGCCAUGGCAACUGCUCAGCACACACCAUGCACGGCGGCUGUUCGACGGAUUGCCGCAACGGAUGGACCCCCUCUUCCUUGGCUCAGCAUCUGGACUGAAUCAGCUUCUCCGCCCUUGCCACGGACACGCCUGCUGGCAUCAUCGCCAGCUUCUUACAACAGAGGAAUUUCAACUGCGGAUCUAGUGCAUGCACGGUGACGGUGUGUGUUCACCAGCAAAUCAGUUCAGUUCUGCAGUUCUUAAUUACGUGAAGCAAGUUCUUGUCACACACUGCCUCAGCCCGUGGACAGAGACUGAGCAUCGCUCAAACAAAGGUGAGUGAAGCCUGUGCUUAUGCUCAUUCAGUUGUAAACUGAGCCAUUGUGGUCUUCUGUCCCUACUGAUUGCGUUACCUGUUCCCCCGAUGUAGCUGCUACACAAUUUGUUCCACUUGCGAGUACUUUUCUCGUCGAUACUACAAAUCCAACCCCAUAUGAAACAUGAACUAGUGGCCGGCUGG